UGAGCUUGAUCCUGGCUCAGAUUGAACGCUGGCGGCAGGCCUAACACAUGCAAGUCGAGCGGUAGAAAGUAGCUUGCUACUUUUGAGAGCGGCGGACGGGUGAGUAACGCGUGGGAAUCUACCUGGUAGUGGGGGACAACUUGGGGAAACUCAAGCUAAUACCGCAUACGCCCUACGGGGGAAAGGAGGGGCUCUUCGGACCUUUCGCUAUCAGAUGAGCCUGCGUAGGAUUAGCUAGUUGGUAGGGUAAAGGCCUACCAAGGCGACGAUCCUUAGCUGGUCUGAGAGGAUGAUCAGCCACACUGGGACUGAGACACGGCUCGCAGCAUCUGCACUUCACUGGGCAUGCGACAUGCAGUGUGUGCGAACUAAUAUGAGGACAGACUGGCGCGGCGAGAGCCACAUGAUCUCGACGACACAGUCGCACGACGUCGCUGUGUAAUGUAAGGCCUCUCGGGUGUCGUCACAUAGCGCACUUGUACAAGUGCGCUGAGAGAUAGGGGUCGAUAGCAGUAUGAGACUAGCUCUGCUUCGUG
rnacentral:rRNA from 1 species